rnacentral:rRNA from 1 species
UGGGGAAUAUUGCACAAUGGGCGAAAGCCUGAUGCAGCGACGCCGCGUGAGGGAUGACGGCCUUCGGGUUGUAAACCUCUUUCAGCAGGGACGAAGCGCAAGUGACGGUACCUGCAGAAGAAGCACCGGCUAACUACGUGCCAGCAGCCGCGGUAAUACGUAGGGUGCAAGCGUUGUCCGGAAUUACUGGGCGUAAAGAGUUCGUAGGCGGUUUGUCGCGUCGUUUGUGAAAACCAGCAGCUCAACUGCUGGCUUGCAGGCGAUACGGGCAGACUUGAGUACUGCAGGGGAGACUGGAAUUCCUGGUGUAGCGGUGAAAUGCGCAGAUAUCAGGAGGAACACUGGUGGCGAAGGCGGGUCUCUGGGCAGUAACUGACGCUGAGGAACGAAAGCGUGGGUAGCGAACAGG